GCCCCCAUCGUCUAGGGGACCAGGACGCAGCCCUUUCAAGGCUAAAACGAGAGUUCGAAUCUCUCUGGGGGCACUA
rnacentral:tRNA from 1 species